rnacentral:rRNA from 1 species
AAGUCGUAACAAGGUCUCCGUAGGUGAACCUGCGGAGGGNUCAAUGAUGAAUGGCCUUUGGGCCUUCAAUCUCUCUACCCUCGUGGAUUGGAGACGUGUAUUCGGCCCUGUGCCGACUUUUUUGCUGUAGGCUAUGUGUCUGAUUGAUGUUAAAAUCAAAACUUUCAACAAAGGAUCUCUUGGCUCUUGCAUCGAUGAAGAACGCAGCGAAGCGCGAAAUGUAAUGUGAAUCGCAGAAUUUGUGAAUCAUCGAAUCUUUGAACGCAUAUUGCGCCUCCUGUUACAGGGAGGCAUGCCUGUCUGAGCGUCGUUUAAACCAUAUGCUGUCUGCAGCGUGUGUUGGGCCUUCACCCGAUGGGUGUGGCCUUGAAGCCAUUGGGCUGAGAGCGGACGAAUUCCCCUGGGAAGGACCGCGGUCGGCCCCAAAUCUCUAUAUUUGACCUCAGAUCAGGCAGGGACACCGCCUGAACUUAAGCAUAUCAAUAAGGCGAGGAAAAGAAACCAACAGGGAUUCCCUCAGUAGUGGCGAAUGAAGCGGGAAAAGCUCAAGUUUGAAAUCUGGCUUCUGUCAGAGUUGUAAGCUGAAGAGGCGUCGACCGACGCGGUGCGGGCUCAAUUUUCCUGGAACGGGAAGUCAUAGAGGGUGAGAGCCCCGUGUUUGGCCCUAGCACCGCCGUCCUAGCGUCAUGCCCUCGUAGAGUCGGGUUGUUUGGGAAUGCAGCUCAAAAUGGGUGGUAAAUUCCAUCUAAGGCUAAAUAUUGGCGAGAGACCGAUAGCAAACAAGUAGAAUGAUCGAAAGAUGAAAAGUACUUUGAAAAGAGAGUGAAACAGUACGUGAAAUUGUUGAAAGGGAAGCGUUUGGUAUCAGGCAUGGGCAUGCGUCCCGUCAACCCGAGAGGGUCGGGUGCAUGCCUGGCCAGCAUCGACUCUGCUCGCCGGAGAAAGGCCGGUCGGAAGUGACGUCCUUUAUGGGCGUGUUAUACCCUCCGGCGUCAUACGGCGUGGCGGGGUCGAGGUCUGCGGUCUAACCAAGGAUGCUGGCGUAAUGGUUCCAAGCGACC